rnacentral:misc_RNA from 1 species
GAAAUGCGAUAAGUAAUGUGAAUUGCAGAAUUCAGUGAAUCAUCGAAUCUUUGAACGCACAUUGCGCCCGCCAGUAUUCUGGCGGGCAUGCCUGUUCGAGCGUCAUUUCCACCAUCAGGCCCCCGCGUCGGCCACGAGCGCAGCAGAAACGCGAACUCGUGAGCCCGUCCGAGCGGCUCCCAGAAGCUACACCCACCCAGUUUGACCUCGGAUCAGGUAGGGAUACCCGCUGAACUUAAGC